GACGAACGCUGGCGGCGUGCCUAAUACAUGCAAGUAGAACGCACAGUUUAUACCGUAGCUUGCUACACCAUAGACUGUGAGUUGCGAACGGGUGAGUAACGCGUAGGUAACCUGCCUGGUAGCGGGGGAUAACUAUUGGAAACGAUAGCUAAUACCGCAUAAUAUUAAUUAUUGCAUGAUAAUUGAUUGAAAGAUGCAACUGCAUCACUACCAGAUGGACCUGCGUUGUAUUAGCUAGUAGGUGAGGUAACGGCUCACCUAGGCGACGAUACAUAGCCGACCGGAGAGGGUGAUCGGCCACACUGGGACUGAGACACGGCCCAGACUCCUACGGGAGGCAGCAGUAGUGAAUCUUCGGCAAUGGACGAAAGUCUGACCGAGCAACGCCGCGUGAGUGAAGAAGGGUGUCGGAUCGUAAAGCUCUGUUGUAAGAGAAGAACGGGUGUGAGAGUGGAAAGUUCACACUGUGACGGUAUCUUACCAGAAAGGGACGGCUAACUACGUG
rnacentral:rRNA from 1 species